UCAACCCUCAAGCCUGGCUUGGUGAUGGGGCACUGCCUGUAAAAGGGCAGGCCCUGAAAUUCAGUGGCGAGCUCGCCAGGACCCCGAGCGCAGUAGUUAAACCCUCGCUCUGGAAGGCCCUGGCGGUGCCCUGCCGUUAAACCCCCAACUUUUGAAAAUUUGUGGUCGGUAGAGG
rnacentral:misc_RNA from 1 species